GACGAACGCUGGCGGCGUGCUUAACACAUGCAAGUCGAGCGAUGAAGCACCUUCGGGUGUGAAUUAGCGGCGAACGGGUGAGGAACACGUGAAGAAUCUGCCUUCAACUCUGGGAUAACUCCGGGAAACCGGGGCUAAUACCGGAUAUGAGCCUUGAUCGCAUGAUCGGGGCUGGAAAGUUUUUCGGUUGAAGAUGACUUCGCGGCCUAUCAGCUUGUUGGUGAGGUAAUGGCUCACCAAGGCGACGACGGGUAGCCGGCCUGAGAGGGCGACCGGCCACACUGGGACUGAGACACGGCCCAGACUCCUACGGGAGGCAGCAGUGGGGAAUAUUGGGCAAUGGAGGAAACUCUGACCCAGCGACGCCGCGUGAGGGAUGAAGGCCUUCGGGUUGUAAACCUCUUUCAGUAGGGAAGAAGCGAAAGUGACGGU
rnacentral:rRNA from 1 species